AUUCUGGCUCAGGAUGAACGCUGGCGGCGUGCUUAACACAUGCAAGUCGAACGGGAUCUCAGGAGCUUGCUCCUGGGUGAGAGUGGCGAACGGGUGAGUAAUGCGUGACCGACCUGCCCCAUACACCGGAAUAGCUCCUGGAAACGGGUGGUAAUGCCGGAUGCUCCGACUCCUCGCAUGGGGUGUCGGGAAAGAUUAUAUCGGUAUGGGAUGGGGUCGCGUCCUAUCAGGUAGUCGGCGGGGUAACGGCCCACCGAGCCUACGACGGGUAGCCGGCCUGAGAGGGCGACCGGCCACAUUGGGACUGAGAUACGGCCCAGACUCCUACGGGAGGCAGCAGUGGGGAAUAUUGCACAAUGGGCGCAAGCCUGAUGCAGCGACGCCGCGUGCGGGAUGACGGCCUUCGGGUUGUAAACCGCUUUUGAUCGGGAGCAAGCCUUCGGGUGAGUGUACCUUUCGAAUAAGCACCGGCUAACUACGUGCCAGCAGCCGCGGUAAUACGUAGGGUGCAAGCGUUAUCCGGAAUUAUUGGGCGUAAAGGGCUCGUAGGCGGUUCGUCGCGUCCGGUGUGAAAGUCCAUCGCUUAACGGUGGAUCUGCGCCGGGUACGGGCGGGCUGGAGUGCGGUAGGGGAGACUGGAAUUCCCGGUGUAACGGUGGAAUGUGUAGAUAUCGGGAAGAACACCAAUGGCGAAGGCAGGUCUCUGGGCCGUUACUGACGCUGAGGAGCGAAAGCGUGGGGAGCGAACAGGAUUAGAUACCCUGGUAGUCCACGCCGUAAACGAUGAGUGCUAGGUGUUGGAUCCUUUCCGGGAUUCAGUGCCGCAGCUAACGCAUUAAGCACUCCGCCUGGGGAGUACGACCGCAAGGUUGAAACUCAAAGGAAUUGACGGGGGCCCGCACAAGCAGUGGAGUAUGUGGUUUAAUUCGACGCAACGCGAAGAACCUUACCAAGUCUUGACAUCCCUUGACGAACAUAGAAAUAUGUUUUCUCUUCGGAGCAAGGAGACAGGUGGUGCAUGGUUGUCGUCAGCUCGUGUCGUGAGAUGUUGGGUUAAGUCCCGCAACGAGCGCAACCCUCGCCCUGUGUUGCCAGCACGUCAUGGUGGGAACUCACGGGGGACCGCCGGGGUCAACUCGGAGGAAGGUGGGGAUGACGUCAGAUCAUCAUGCCCCUUACGUCCAGGGCUUCACGCAUGCUACAAUGGCCGGUACAACGGGAUGCGACAUGGCGACAUGGAGCGGAUCCCUGAAAACCGGUCUCAGUUCGGAUUGGAGUCUGCAACCCGACUCCAUGAAGGCGGAGUCGCUAGUAAUCGCGGAUCAGCAACGCCGCGGUGAAUGCGUUCCCGGGCCUUGUACACACCGCCCGUCAAGUCAUGAAAGUGGGUAGCACCCGAAGCCGGUGGCCUAACCCCUUGUGGGAUGGAGCCGUCUAAGGUGAGACUCGUGAUUGGGACUAAGUCGUAACAAGGUAGCCGUACCGGAAGGUGCGGCUG
rnacentral:rRNA from 1 species